rnacentral:lncRNA from 1 species
AUUGUGCAGCGCGGCUUCCGUGGACCGUUCCCCUCCGGGAUGGGGGAACAUGGCGGCUCCGUCUCCUGCUGUCCCCAAAGUAACAGCUGAAAUCCUGGAAGAGGAGGAGGGAGGCAUCAGGAGGUAUGAAGGAGAGAGCAGCUCUGCACCAGCUUGUUGCUGCUCAUAUCUGCUUGUCAGAGAACCUAAGUAGCCACUGUGCCUCACCUGAUGGAAGGCAAAGCAGUAUCAAAGGUUUUCAUCCUAGAAGCAGGGAGCCCAUAAGGCUUUGGCACCUGCAGGAAGCCACCCUGAUUGCAGGGCUUCUGGCACUUUCCAGCCUACUGCUACAUAUAAAUCAUCGAUAAACAUGAGAUUGCAAUUAAGAAGAAACAAAGCACUUUGAAUGAGAGACAGCAGAAGAAAAACAGCCCAAUCAAACCUGAAAGGGCCUCAGAUAUUGAAAAUGUGCUUUAGUCUGAGAAAGGAAUGUACUGCUCCACUCAUUUUGCAGACCUAGAAUGUAAAACUGAUAUCUUGCAUAUGUUUAAAGAAAUAAGCGAAUACUGGAAACAUGAACAAGGAAUAAAGGGCUACCAAAAAUGAUCAGAUUUCUUCUUUCUCUUCUCUCACUGAAAGAUUCAGUCCAAAAGCAAUUAGGUGAGGCUAAGCAAUGUAGGUAUUUGUGUUGGAGGAGCUAGGGUGACCCUGCGUUACGUGAUGUCAGAGCUUGAGCAGGGUGAGCAGAGCAGCCACGUAGGGGAAUGGUGGUGGUGAUGGUCUAAUGUAGUGUCAGAGCCCAGUUAGGGUGAGGAGAGCAAUUUCAUCGGAGAGAAGAAUAAUGGCAUUGGCCCAGGAUUUUAGAACCUGAGGGGAUGCUGAGGGUAUCCAUGCAGGGAGGUGGCCUGGCAUGGUGUCUCAUGAUCUGACUGCAGUAAAGAGGGCAGCUACAUGGGUUGGGAAGUAACUGUUACAGGUCAAAUUGUG